AGAUGUGAACGUGAAAAGGGUGAAGAUUGGUCCAAAAUUGCUCAUAUUCCUCAAGUUAUUGUUGAUGGCUACAACAUUCAAUCCUCGCUUGACAGUGAUGAUUAAGUGCAAAAGACUAGAGUGUCCAUUAAUGGAAGUUAUGCUGCCUCUACAUGCUUAUGAGUUUUUUACAAACUAAGCUACCAUAUUCAUGGGGACUGGACUGAACUGCAGAAAGUUUCAAUGUUAUUUACUUAUAGUCUUCUGUCUUUUUACAUACAUUAUUAUAUAAUUUGCAUUUUCUACAUUAUUUAUAUUGUAAUAAUGCCAUCUCCUUAAUUAUAUAUGAAUUGCAUAUAUUUUACAUGUAAAUAAUGUUU